rnacentral:rRNA from 1 species
ACUCUAGCGAGACUGCCGGGUAAUAAAACCGGAGGAAGGUGGGGGGAGUGACGUCAAAUACAUCAUGCCCCUUACUGACCUGGGCUACACACGUGCUACAAUGGUUGGUACAACGAGUUGCGAGUCGGUGACGGCGAGCUAAAUCUCUUAAAGCCAAUCUCAGUUCGGAUUGUAGGCUGCAACUCGCCUACAUGAAGUCGGAAUCGCUAGUAAUCGCGGAUCAGCACGCCGCGGUGAAUACGUUCCCGGGCCUUU